UACGAAGGGGACUAGCGUUGUUCGGAAUUACUGGGCGUAAAGCGCGCGUAGGCGGAUCGCUAAGUCAGGGGUGAAAUCCCAGGGCUCAACCCUGGAACUGCCUUUGAUACUGACGAUCUGGAGAUCGGGAGAGGUUGGUGGAAUUCCGAGUGUAGAGGUGAAAUUCGUAGAUAUUAGGAAGAACACCGGUGGCGAAGGCGGCCCACUGGUCCGGUACUGACGCUGAGGUGCGAAAGCGUGGGGAGCAAACAGG
rnacentral:rRNA from 1 species